rnacentral:rRNA from 1 species
UACGAAGGGGGCUAGCGUUGCUCGGAAUCACUGGGCGUAAAGCGCACGUAGGCGGCUUUCUAAGUCGGGGGUGAAAUCCUGGAGCUCAACUCCAGAACUGCCUUCGAUACUGGAAAGCUCGAGUCCGGGAGAGGUGAGUGGAACAGCUAGUGUAGAGGUGAAAUUCGUAGAGAUUGGGUGGAACACCAGUGGCGAAGGCGCCUGCCUGGCUGAUGACUGACGCUGAGACUCGAAAGCAUGGGGAGCAAACAGG